GAUGAACGCUGGCGGCGUGCCUAAUACAUGCAAGUCGAGCGAACAGACGAGGAGCUUGCUCCUUUGACGUUAGCGGCGGACGGGUGAGUAACACAUACGUAACUUACCUAUAAGACUGGGAUAACUUCGGGAAACCGGAGCUAAGACCGGAUAAUAUUUCGAACCGCAUGGUUCGAUAGUGAAAGAUGGCUUUGCUAUCACUUAUACAUAGACAUGCGCCGAAUUAGCUAGUGGGUAAGGUAACGGCUCACCAAGGCAACGAUGCGUAGCCGAUCUGAGAGUGUGAUCGGUCACUCGGGAGAGGAGACGCGGACCAGGCUCGAAAGGGAGGCACGAUUAGCGAAUCUACGGAAGUGAGCGGAAGCGUGACGGAGCAACGCCGCGUGAGUGAUAAAGGGCUUCGGAGCGUGCAACACUGUUAUUAGGGAAGAACAAACUUGUAAGUAACUGUGCACGUCUUGACUGUACCUUAUCAGAAAGCCACGGCUAACUACGUG
rnacentral:rRNA from 1 species